rnacentral:rRNA from 1 species
UACCGAGGGUGCAAGCGUUGUUCGGAAUUAUUGGGCGUAAAGCGCGUGUAGGCGGCUUUGCAAGUCGGGUGUGAAAGCCCUCAGCUUAACUGAGGAAGUGCGCCCGAAACUGCUUGGCUUGAGUACCGGAGAGGAUGGCGGAAUUCCCCAAGUAGAGGUGAAAUUCGUAGAUAUGGGGAGGAACACCGGUGGCGAAGGCGGCCAUCUGGACGGAUACUGACGCUGAGACGCGAAAGCGUGGGUAGCAAACAGG